AGGCAGGAGAAUCGCUUGAGCCUGACAGGAAGAGGCUGCAGAGAGCCGAGAUAGCGCCACCGCACUCCAGCCUGGUGAAAGAGCGAGACUCCGUCUCAAAAAAAAAAAAAAAAAAAAUAGCAUUGCUGUGCUUGUGUUCUUCUCAUCACUGAAUAUAUUACAUAAUAUAAUCACUGAAUAUAUUACAUAAUAUAAUCAUAAUAAAAUAUUUAAAAUAUAAAAAUUGAAAGAAAAUGACAACAAACUCAACUGUAUUUAGGUGAUGAAUAUAGAGUGAUUUCCCCCUUUUUCUUCCAAUUUCUGUAUAUUCCAAAUGGAAAAGUUAGAAAGAAUUCAUCAUACACAUGUAAAUGCUUUUGAAAAAUUAAAAUGCUACAGAAUUAUCUGAGUCUAGAGAUUACUCUUUCAUAACUUUUUCAAUUAUUGUCUUUAGGGUAGGGUUGGUUUAUUUAGAUUUUUCUACUUCUUAAAUGAAUUUUGGAACUAAUAUUUUUUCCCAGAAAAUCACUAAUUUCAUUGAGAUUUUCAAAAAUGUUAGCAGGCUACUUUCCUCUUCAUCUGCUAUUUGUGAUUUAUAAUGUUUAAAUGUUUUCUCUCAAUUGGAUUUACCAUAGGCUUGUUGCUUUUAUGGGCUUGUUAACAAAGAUUUUUGUAUUUAUUUAUUAAUGUCACUAUUUUUCUAUUUUCUAAUCCAUUUUAUUCUGCUUUUACUUUUAUUUUUUUCCAACUUUUUCCUUGGGGGCAGAGGAGGCUUUCUCCUUUUUGUAAAAUUCCUUGAGUUGGAUGUUUAGUUCAUUUAUUUUCUUUCUUUUUUCUAUAAUGAAAGCAAGUGAGAAUAUAUAUCUACCAAGUACUGUUAUUUUUUAAAUAGUCCACUGUGGGGAUUUGUGUGAGGCAGGGGUGAGAAGGUUGGGGGCUUUCUGUUUUUGUAGUUUUGGAAGAUACAGGGGGAGGAGAGGAAGGUCCUGCUUGUCAUAUACCAUACUGUAUACUUAGGCCUUAACGAAGAGGUCAGAGAGGCUUUAUCCUAGUACAAGAAGAAUACACCUAAGCUGAGAAUAGAGCCAGGAUUUUAACAAGAUCUGCAACAGUGAUAGAGGUCUCACUAUGUUUCCCAGGCUUGUCUCAAACUCCUGGGCUCAAGUGAUCUUUCCACCUUAGCUUCCCAAAGUGCUAGGAUUAUAAGCAUGAGCCACUGUGCCUGGCUCAACCUGUAUUUUGAUUCAUUCAUCUUUCAUUGAGCAUUUACUAAAUAGCAGCUAUAUGCUAGGCACUAUACUAAAUGUUAGGAAUCCAAAGGUUAGACACUUACAUUACUUCUCUUCAAGAAGCAGGAGAGUGAGCACUUACAAUAGUGUAAUAAUUACCAUACUAGAGAUACACUGUGAACUACAAAGAGGAUAGCUAUCCCUGAGGUGCGCCUGCAAAAGUAUCACAGAGUAGGCUUGCUUGAGCUGAGAAGGUCAGGUGGGAGCUGAAAGGGGGUGACAUUUUAGGCAAAGAAACAGUGAAAAAAAAUAGCAUCAGAGAAUAACAUUCUAAGAAUAGCAACUGCUCUGAGUUUGAUUCUGAUAAGGAGUCGUCUGUGGGAGGGAAAAUCAGCAAUGUGUGUUUUAAUAAACGAUCCAGCUGAUUCUGAUGCACAAUAAGGUUAGAAACCACCAAGCUAGGAUUUAGACAGGAGGUGAUGACAGCAAGGACAUCAGUUUCAGGAAAAAAUAUUUUACCCAGCAUAUACACUGACUAUCCACUGUCAUUUCCUAUUCCUUUUCAUUCCUCUAUUUACUCUGACCUGCAUGUUGUCAUGCUUCCUGCUUCCAGCUAAUUAUUAUCCUUCAAACACACUCCUCUCCUUGGAUGGUUCCUAUUCACUAUAUUCCUCUCAGACCCCAAAUCCUAUUAUCCUCUCCAUUCACUUUUACUUGAUUUUACUUGCCACCUAUGUUUCAGGCCCCUGCAUGUUUCUCCCAAACUUUUACCUCCCUCCCCAUCUCUGUUCUCCAGUCUCUCUAAUUAUCCUUGGCAUAUCUAUAGUCCCCUCAUUUAUCCUUCUUCCCUUACACAGUAUUGCUAACUUAUCUCUUGAGCUCUAUUUUUGCCUUUUCUUCUCUUAAUCUACUCUCAAACAACUUGUUCUGCUGGUAUCUUCCUUAAUUCUUAAUUUCUUCCUUACAUUGUGACUCUGUGCUAUGAUGAUACCAAAAAUAAGAUGGUACCAAAUAUUUGAUAUGUGUGUUGUAUGUGACUUCUCAUUAUUUUAUAACACAUUUAUAACAUUUAC
rnacentral:lncRNA from 1 species